GCCGCGCGCUCCGGGCUCGCCCGCUAGGCCGCCCCUGGGACUCGGCGGAGAGCGGCCGGCGGGACCCCAGCGCCCCGAGUGGCGGCACCGCGGAGAGUCCGGUUCCCGGUCCCCAGGCCGAUCUCGGUCCCCAGGCCAGUCUCGGAAGGUCCUGGGAGGGCCCGGGAGACCGGAGCGGCCGAGCCGGUGCAGAGCCUCACGCAAGGCCGGCCGGACGCGCGGAGGCCCUGCGGGAAGGAGAGGGGCUCCCCAAAAGGCUUGAAGGCGCUUUGCACACAGUGCACGGCGGAGAGGACAACGCGGGGCCUUGUUUUAGCUUCCCCUAGCAAUGCACCAAAUGAGAUUAGCCGGAGAGCGUUUGAUGGCGCAGAAUCCGGUGCGGAGAUGUUGACGCUCGGUGCCGGACGCGUUUGAUGAUGUUCUCCUCGGCACAAUUAACUUUGCGGAGUUCAGAAACGUGCCAGCUCGGACGCCGGCGUGCAGCUGGGCGUCCAGGGCUCUGCAGCCACACCUUCAGUGAGAGCCCAGCUUGUGUGUUUCAUUUGUUGUUUAUUUAAGGCACCAGCGUCCAGGCCAACGUGUUUCGUGGAGACCAUUGGAUGAAAUU